CCUACGGGGGGCUGCAGUGAGGAAUAUUGGUCAAUGGCCGUAAGGCUGAACCAGCCAAGUAGCGUGAGGGAAGACUGCCCUAUGGGUUGUAAACCUCUUUUAUGCGGGGAUAAAGGUGUCCACGUGUGGAUGUUUGCAGGUACCGUAUGAAUAAGGACCGGCUAAUUCCGUGCCAGCAGCCGCGGUAAUACGGAAGAUCCGGGCGUUAUCCGGAUUUAUUGGGUUUAAAGGGAGCGUAGGCCGGUCUUUAAGCGUGCCGUGAAAUGUUGGGGCUCAACCAUGAGAGUGCGGCGCGAACUGGGGACCUUGAGUGCGCGUAAGGCAGGCGGAAGUCGGGGUGUAGCGGUGAAAUGCUUAGAUAUCACGAAGAACCCCGAUUGCGAAGGCAGCCUGCCGCAGCGUUACUGACGCUGAAGCUCGAAAGCGGGGGUAUCGAACAGGAUUAGAUACCCUGGUAGUC
rnacentral:rRNA from 1 species